UAGAAGGUGUUUUUUUAUUUUAAAUGCCCCAUGGUAUCUGAUGCCUUGAUCUAAUUAACGUUUUAGGCAUCUCGUUAGACGGGCAGAUAGCGAUGAAAACAGUUUUGCAACACAGUCUGCUGAUUAAAUCCACAGCUUAUUGUUACUUUUAUUGCUGGUUGUGAUGAGAAAUUAGGAAAGUCAUCCACCACUCUGAUAUUCAUUGUGAUUGAUAAACUUUCUCAUUACCCAUACUUUCUUUUUUGUUUCUGAGCCCUCUCAUUAUGAACAUACAGAUGCUAGGGCACAAGUCCUGUUAAUCAAAUUGAUCAGCAGAUCUGUAAUUUCUGUAUAGUGUCAUUUUUGUAAUAAGUUUGUUAAUCAGUUGUUAGGGCAGUUGUUUGCUGUUAUUAGCUGCUGCUAAUCAGUAUAUAAGGAGAGAUUGGUUGAUUAUUAAGAGGAGGGUUUAUAAUAAUCGAAUAUGGGUGGUGGCGGGAAGGGAUUUGGAUGCCCCAGGGGGUAAAAUUGCAACUUAACAGAAAGUAUAGGGGGGAAUAAGAAAUGGCAUUUUAGUAAUUUACCUGUGGGGAGUAAUUAUGCAACAUAACAGGAAUGUUGGGGGUAAAAUAAAAGGGUAAACUACUCAUUUCAAAUUAAAUCUAAUUGAUCAGUUAGCCAAAUUAACGCUGGGCGGUAAAGUUGCGACAUAACAGCAAAUGUUGGGGGGUAAAAUUGCAAUUAUUUCCUUAGGGAGGGGGGGGUAGACAUGCCGAUCACCCUAAACCUCAGGAGGUAAAAUUGCAGUUCAGUUUUUUAGUUAUAUCUUAUCUCAAAAUAUCAUAUUAUAAUUUAUAAACUUAUUACUAAUUGUUUAAUAUUUUUUUUUAUUAAAUGUAACCUAGUAAUUAUACAUUUUAUAUAUACAGCUUAACAGUGCCCCUUACGAGUCUUCGAAUUCAUAGGCACGGACCUAGGUAAAAGAAAAUUUAGGUUACCUCUGGUUUUUUUUUCUAGCUCUGCCACUGCUUUCUUGUAUUAGGCUAUCACACUCCUCAAAUUGAAGAGUCCCGUUGCCCCACUCCGGUCAGACUAUGUUAUCUUCACUCGGCCCACGUUCGCUUUAGAGUUUGGCUUGGAUGUUCCCCCGGGAAACUAUACCGCCAACAGCCACUUGAUGACCAUUGUGUCACCACAAGAGCAGAACAUUCUCUAGCGUAACACACGGUGAGACGAAAACCCUGGUGGGCUCAGGAUAGAACCUGACACCUCUGCAAGAAGGCUAUGCUCUAUCUAUCAAUGUCUAAUGCAACAAAAUAACACAAGUGAGGAUUAAAUUUGAGUAUCUUUCAAUUUAUGAUUAAAGUGUUUCCAAAUGUUAGAAUGAUUGGUUGCCUAGUCAGAUGGUGUAGAUUAUUGUGCGAUACUUUCUCUUGUUACCAAACUUGGUUACUUAUUUCCUUAGUUGCAAUAUACAAUUAGGCACUUCAUUAGCUUCAUGUCAAGAAUGCCUUUGCAUAUAAGUAAUUUAAAUAAAGAUGCAUAUAUGAAAGAACCAGCUGCCCAAGGGUAGUUUGGGAAAGUAUGCACAUGCAAGACCUUUAAUGAUUUAAAACAUUCUUUGCAAGCUUGGUUUUGGAAACUAAUACUUGUUGGGUAUUUUUAGACGGUAUAUGAGUUACUUUUUUUUAAUAACCAAAUGACAAAAUUUAUUGGCAAAGGCGGGGCCAACUAGACAUUGGAAGUCCCAAAAAACGACAAGUCGACAACAACAUUACAAUUUUAAAUAUCUAUUACUAAAAUCCCACCACCAAACCCAAACAAGGUCCCCAAACUUAGACUUGUUUUUUAUCCACACAAAAGAGUCCUUAAUUCCUUCAACAAUCUUCGGAACCACCCCCCACUUAUCUUCAAAAAUCUUAUUCUUUUUUGAACGGCCAACAAAACACCUUUUUUUAUAUUUAGCUAGCAGCUAACACCAAAUAUACAUACACCAAACAGACGCUUACAACCAACUAUGGACCAAACCCGAAUCUACAAUAAAACAAUCAAAAAACAUUAAAAACUCUCCAUUGGUCCCAAGACAUAUUCACCUCUUUUGCACGAUGCUUUACCCAUAAUAAGCUUUUCACUUUGAUUUCCUCCACAACAUCCGCAAUGGAUUUAGAUUUCCCAGUGAACAUUAGAUCGUUCUUGAGAUUCUAUAUACUCCAUAAAGUCACUAGACAUAUCGCGUGAAAAGCCUUCUUCUUCUUUUCCGAACCACCGAACCUCUGGUGAGCAUCAAGAAUGUCCUGUAAACUGAAAGCGAUAACUGGGUCAGUUUUACACCACUGGAAAACCACUAGCCAAACAAUUUGAGCGAAUUCACACGAGACGAGCAAGUGAUCGCUGGUUUCGCAGUAUCCUCUACACAGAAUACACUUCAAAAAUCUUAUUAUUCCUGUAAAUCCAUAUCUUCCAAAUUGUAGUAAACAAACUAGCUUCUACCAUCCUCCUCCAGUCACAAAGCCUCAACACCUGUACUCAAUAGUUCCAGACCGCUUAACUUAAGUUAUGCCUACACAUUCCACCAAAUAGCUUUAGCCCAAACACAAGAAAAGAAAAUAUGGUUAUGAUCCUCAUCUUCUAAACCACAACUACUACAUACAACAUCUCCAACUUUAACUCCCCUAUGACUUAAUCCCACCUUUGAUGGAAUUCUUCC
rnacentral:lncRNA from 1 species